rnacentral:lncRNA from 1 species
GGUGUGUCAGACACAAACUGCACCAGUAGUACUUAUUAACCCAGCUCCGUACAGCUAUAUGACACCAGCGAUUUUGACCUGUUUCUUUUGUUGCUGGUGUACUGGUAUUGCAGCGAUUAUUGCGGCAUCUAUGGUAAAAUAUAAUUGUGUUUAAAUAUCAUAUAAGUUGCAACAUGUGUUACAUCAAGUAAACAAAUGAGAAAGGAUUAACAAUUUAUUCAUAUGUCAUGAACAGCAAUUACUUAACAAAUACUUAUUAAUUUAGCAUAGGGUGAAAUGUAGAUGUACCUUUCAAAAGGAAGGUAAUUUAAAGAAAAGGUCAAUUAUAAAAUUAAAAAAGUAUUUGUAAAUAAGAUACUAGUAUAACAAUGCAAUCAGUUGUGCCAAACAAAUGGAAACAGCAAAACAGUAUUGAAGCCUUUUUGAGUGGAACAUAUACAUUUAAAUGUGUGAUUUACAAUUUCAAAAAUUGUGUAGUAUUAUUGUUCCUUGUGAACCAGUUAUAAUGAUCUACCUAGUUUUUUUUCGCAGAUGUAAACUUCGCCAUUUUCAUUAAAUAGUGUGUACAAAUAAUUUGGGGAUUACUAUUCAGGCUGAUUUAAAACUAUUUUAGAUUACCAUUACAUGUUAAAUUUUUAAUUGGCGAUUUUGUUCUAUCAGCGAAUAUAAGCGAACAUAAAAACACCGUAAAAUAAGCCGCUAUUCGGUAUGUAGUUUAUACUAAUUAAACAAUUACCCAGGAAAAUGUAUAUUUGUGAUUAGCAUGAUUAAGAUAUAAUAUGUUAAAAUCGAAACCAUAAAUCUACUACCUCAUGAAUCCGAAAUAUUUCAACAAACUGCAGUUAAGUUAUCAAUAGGUUGCGGAAGGAACAAAAAUAAUGUGUUCUGUUAAUUUCAAUGUUACUGCAGAUCGGUUAUGUAUUAUUCUGUAACUAAUCGAUUCCUUUUUAUUAUUCACAGUCUCAAAGUCAGUCAAGUGAAAUGAAGUACGACGAAGCAAGAAGGUCAGCUAAUAUAGCUAGAAUCCUUAUCCUCGUUACCAUUUGUUGCGGUAUUGGCGGCGUUAUUAUAUUUGUAGCUGUGUCAGUAACCGGACAAUAAAGCUGAAUAUCAUCUCGCCCAGUUAUUUUGCUUAAACUAUCACAUCAUGAUAUGUUAAAUACGUUAUAAACAAAAAUGUGAAGUAUUCUUUUAUUACUAUUAUGUGAAUAGUCAUAUUGUUAAGUUUUCCUCAUUACCAUGCAUCUGUUAAGCAAUUUCUAUUACGCUCAUUGGGGCAGGGACCCAAACACUCGUUUUUAUCGACAUUUGUUUUGAAUAUCAAUAUAGUCACACUCGAUAAAGUGGUUUGAUGAAGUGUGGUGCAUAGAAACUAUGUCUAUAUUUUCCCAUUAAACUGACUGCUGUGAAAGAUAAAUGAUGACAGAAAUUUGGAGCGUGUUGAAUUAAUUGAUAGCUAUUCCUCUCGGUAUACUGCACGUCCCCUUUUAUUUAUUUUAUAAACGGACAUUGAUAAAAAAAAAACAAUCGGUGUCUUUAGCUGUUGUAUUGAAGUUGUUGUCCUCCAAACCAACAUUGUUUCUUUAUUUAUUUGUACUUAAAGAAUAUAUAUAAACACUGAUCUUCGGUCGUGCCGACUUGUUACUUUAUUAUUAUGAG